CCUACGGGGGGCAGCAGUGAGGAAUAUUGGUCAAUGGCCGGAAGGCUGAACCAGCCAUGCCGCGUGAAGGUCAGUGCCCUAUGGGCGUUAAACUUCUUUUGUGCGGGAGCAAUAAUGGUCACGUGUGGCCAGACGAGAGUACCGUACGAAUAAGCAUCGGCUAACUCCGUGCCAGCAGCCGCGGUAAUACGGGGGAUGCAAGCGUUAUCCGGAUUUAUUGGGUUUAAAGGGUGCGUAGGCUGUGAGGUAAGUCAGCGGUGAAAUGCCCCCGCUCAACGGGGUGAAGUGCCAUUGAUACUGGCUGGCUGGAAUGCGGAUGCGGUGGGAGGAAUGUGUGGUGUAGCGGUGAAAUGCAUAGAUAUCACACAGAACACCGAUUGCGAAGGCAUCUCACGAAUCCGCGAUUGACGCUGAUGCACGAAAGCGUGGGUAUCAAACAGGAUUAGAUACCCUUGUAGUC
rnacentral:rRNA from 1 species